GAUGAACGCUGGCGGCAUGCCUAAUACAUGCAAGUCGAACGAGAGGAAGGAAAGCUUGCUUUUCUGAAUCUAGUGGCGAACGGGUGAGUAACACGUAGGUAACCUGCCCAUGUGCCCGGGAUAACUUCUGGAAACGGAUGCUAAAACCGGAUAGGUAGCAGACAAGCAUUUGACUGCUAUUAAAGUGGCUAAGGCCAUGAACAUGGAUGGACCUGCGGUGCAUUAGCUAGUUGGUGAGGUAACGGCCCACCAAGGCGACGAUGCAUAGCCGGGCUGAGAGGGCAGACGGCCACAUUGGGACUGAGACACGGCCCAAACUCCUACGGGAGGCAGCAGUAGGGAAUUUUCGUCAAUGGGGGGAACCCUGAACGAGCAAUGCCGCGUGAGUGAGGAAGGUCUUCGGAUCGUAAAGCUCUGUUGUAAGAGAAAAACGACAUUCAUAGGGAAUGAUGAGUGAGUGAUGGUAUCUUACCAGAAAGUCACGGCUAACUACGUGCCAGCCGCCGCAGUAA
rnacentral:rRNA from 1 species